GACGAACGCUGGCGGCGUGCUUAACACAUGCAAGUCGAACGGAAAGGCCCUGCUUUUGUGGGGUGCUCGAGUGGCGAACGGGUGAGUAACACGUGAGUAACCUGCCCUUGACUUUGGGAUAACUUCAGGAAACUGGGGCUAAUACCGGAUAGGAGCUCCUGCUGCAUGGUGGGGGUUGGAAAGUUUCGGCGGUUGGGGAUGGACUCGCGGCUUAUCAGCUUGUUGGUGGGGUAGUGGCUUACCAAGGCUUUGACGGGUAGCCGGCCUGAGAGGGUUACCGGCCACAUUGGGACUAAGAUACGGCCCAGACUCCUACGGGCGGCAGCAGUGGGGAAUAUUGCACAAUGGGCGGAAGCCUGAUGCAGCAACGCCGCGUGCGGGAUGACGGCCUUCGGGUUGUAAACCGCUUUCGCCUGUGACGAAGCGUGAGUGACGGUAAUGGGUAAAGAAGCACCGGCUAACUACGUG
rnacentral:rRNA from 1 species